UACGUAGGGUGCAAGCGUUGUCCGGAAUUAUUGGGCGUAAAGAGCUCGUAGGCGGUUUGUCGCGUCGGAUGUGAAAUCCCAGGGCUUAACCCUGGGCCUGCAUUCGAUACGGGCAGACUAGAGUUCGGUAGGGGAGACUGGAAUUCCUGGUGUAGCGGUGAAAUGCGCAGAUAUCAGGAGGAACACCGGUGGCGAAGGCGGGUCUCUGGGCCGUAACUGACGCUGAGGAGCGAAAGCGUGGGGAGCGAACAGG
rnacentral:rRNA from 1 species